rnacentral:rRNA from 1 species
GAUGAACGCUGACAGAAUGCUUAACACAUGCAAGUCAACUGUGGCGGACGGGUGAGUAACGCGUAUAGAACUUGCCUCGCAGUUAGGGACAACCUUUGGAAACGAAUGCUAAUACCUGACACUGUGAGAGAGCUUUGCGUCCCAUUAGCUAGUUGGAGAGGUAACGGCUCACCAAGGCGAUGAUGGGUAGCCGGCCUGAGAGGGUAAUCAGCCACAGGGGGACUGAGACACGACCCUUAAUCAUACGGGAGGCAGCAGUGGGGAAUAUUAGACGAAGGACCAAAGUCUGAUCCAGCAAUUCUGUGUGCACGAUGAAGUUUUCGGAAUGUAAAGUGCUUUCAGUUGGGAAGCGGUACCAACAGAAGAAGUGACGGCUAAAUACGUGCCAGCAGCCGCGGUAAUAC